GAUGAAGAACGUAGCGAAAUGCGAUACUUGGUGUGAAUUGCAGAAUCCCGUGAACCAUCGAGUCUUUGAACGCAAGUUGCGCCCGAAGCCACUAGGCCGAGGGCACGCCUGCCUGGGCGUCACACGCCGUUGCCCCCCCAUCUACUCCUUCGGGAUUGCGGGGGGGCGGAUGAUGGCCUCCCGUGCGCCUAGCCGCGCGGUUGGCAUAAAUACCAAGUCCUCGGCGACGCACGUCACGACAAUCGGUGGUUGCGAAACCUCGGUUGCCCGUCGUGUGCGUUCGUCGCGCAUCGAGGGCUCGAAAAAAUGCUCGGCUCCGGCUGGGCUUUCAACGCGACCCCAGGUCAGGCGGGGUUACCCGCUGAAUUUAAGCAUAUCAAUAAGCGGAGGA
rnacentral:misc_RNA from 1 species